rnacentral:rRNA from 1 species
GACGAACGCUGGCGGCGUGCUUAACACAUGCAAGUCGCACGGGACUGGGGGCAACUCCAGUUCAGUGGCGGACGGGUGCGUAACACGUAAGCAACAUGUCCAGGGGGUGGGGGAUAGCCGGCCCAACGGCCGGGUAAUACCGCAUGCAGUCAUCGCUGGCAUCUACGAUGACGAAAGCCGGGGCAACCUGGCGCCCAUGGAGUGGCUUGCGGCCUAUCAGCUAGNGGUGAGGUAACGGCUCACCAAGGCUACGACGGGUAGCUGGUCUGAGAGGAUGACCAGCCACAUUGGGACUGAGACACGGCCCAGACUCCUACGGGAGGCAGCAGGUGGGGAAUAUUGCGCAAUAGGCGAAAGCCUGACGCAGCGACGCCGCGUGUGGGAU